rnacentral:rRNA from 1 species
UGCCAGCCGCCGCGGUAAUACGGAGCGUGCGAGCGUUAUUCGGAAUCACUGGGUUUAAAGGGUGUCUAGGCUGCCACAUAAGUCAGAGGUGAAAGUCGGUUGCUCAACAAUCGAAUUGCCUUUGAAACUGUGUGGCUCGAAUAUAGAUGAGGUAGGCGGAAUGUGUAGUGUAGCGGUGAAAUGCAUAGAUAUUACACAGAACACCAAUUGCGAAGGCAGCUUACCAAACUAUUAUUGACGCUGAAGCACGAAAGCGUGGGUAGCGAACAGGAUUAGAUA